AUUUAAAUAGUUUAUCAUAAAAUUUUGAUUUGUGGUAUCAAAGAUAUAAAUAUUUUUAUUUUAAAUC
rnacentral:tRNA from 1 species